rnacentral:rRNA from 1 species
AUCUUUUUGUUUUUAAAAGACCUUCUUCGGAGGGUAUGCUUAAAGAGGGGCUUGCGCCACAUUAGUUAGUUGGUGAGGUAAAGGCUUACCAAGAUUAUGAUGUGUAGCUGGACUGAGAGGUUGAACAGCCACAUUGGGACUGAGACACGGCCCAAACUCCUACGGGAGGCAGCAGUAGGGAAUUUUCGGCAAUGGAGGAAACUCUGACCGAGCGACGCCGCGUGAACGAUGAAGUAUUUCGGUAUGUAAAGUUCUUUUAUUGAAGAAGAAAAAAUAGUGGAAAAACUAUAUUGACGUUAUUCAAUGAAUAAGCCCCGGCUAACUAUGUGCCAGCAGCCGCGGUAAGACAUAGGGGGCGAGCGUUAUCCGGAAUUAUUGGGCGUAAAGGGUGCGUAGGCGGUUAGAUAAGUCUAUAAUUUAAUUUCAGUGCUUAACGCUGUCUUGUUAUAGAAACUGUCUUGACUAGAGUGAGAUAGAGGCAAGCGGAAUUCCAUGUGUAGCGGUAAAAUGUGUAAAUAUAUGGAGGAACACCAGAAGCGUAGGCGGCUUGCUGGGUCUUUACUGACGCUGAGGCACGAAAGCGUGGGGAGCAAACAGGAUUAGAUACCCUGGUAGUCCACGCUGUAAACGAUGAGUACUAAGUGUCGGGGAAACUCGGUACUGAAGUUAACACAUUAAGUACUCCGCCUGAGUAGUACGUACGCAAGUAUGAAACUUAAAGGAAUUGACGGGACUCCGCACAAGCGGUGGAUCAUGUUGUUUAAUUCGAAGAUACACGAAAAACCUUACCAGGUCUUGACAUACUCUGCAAAGCUAUAGAAAUAUAGUGGAGGUUAUCAGGGAUACAGGUGGUGCAUGGUUGUCGUCAGUUCGUGUCGUGAGAUGUUAGGUUAAGUCCUAAAACGAACGCAACCCCUGUCGUUAGUUGCCAGCACGUAAUGGUGGGGACUUUAGCGAGACUGCCAAUUAAACAUUGGAGGAAGGUGGGGAUAACGUCAAAUCAUCAUGCCCCUUAUGAUCUGGGCUACAAACGUGAUACAAUGGCUAUUACAAAGAGUAGCUGAAACGCGAGUUUUUAGCCAAUCUCAAAAAGGUAGUCUCAGUACGGAUUGAAGUCUGCAACUCGACUUCAUGAAGCUGGAAUCGCUAGUAAUCGCGAAUCAGCAUGUCGCGGUGAAUACGUUCUCGGGGU